rnacentral:rRNA from 1 species
UUGAGCGGAGAUAUAUGGAGCUUGCUUUAUAUAACUUAGCAGCGAACGGGUGAGUAACACGUAGAUAAUCUAUCCUAUACUGGGGGAUAGCCCGAUGAAAGUUGGAUUAAUACCGCAUAUAGCUAUAUAGUUGCAUGAUUAUGUAGUGAAAGAUUUAUUGGUAUAGGAGGAGUCUGCGGCACAUUAGCUAGUAGGUGAGGUAAAGGCUUACCUAGGCGACGAUGUGUAGCCGGUCUGAGAGGAUGAACGGCCACAAUGGAACUGAGACACGGUCCAUACUCCUACGGGAGGCAGCAGUGGGGAAUAUUGCACAAUGGGGGAAACCCUGAUGCAGCAACGCCGCGUGAGUGAAGAAGGUUUUCGGAUUGUAAAGCUCUGUUAGCAGGGAAGAGGAAGGACGGUACCUGCAGAGGAAGCCACGGCUAACUACGUGCCAGCAGCCGCGGUAAUACGUAGGUGGCAAGCGUUGUUCGGAAUAACUGGGCGUAAAGGAUGCGUAGGCGGUUAAACAAGUUAUAUGUUAAAUAUAUAGGCUUAACCUGUAGAAAGCAUAUAAAACUGUUUAACUAGAGUGCAGGAGAGGUAAGUGGAAUUCCUAGUGUAGCGGUGAAAUGCGUAGAGAUUAGGAAGAACACCAGUGGCGAAGGCGACUUACUGGACUGUAACUGACGCUGAGGCAUGAGAGCAUGGGGAGCAAACAGGAUUAGAUACCCUGGUAGUCCAUGCUGUAAACGAUGGGUACUAGGUGUGGGUUGUGAAUAACAAUUC